GACGAACGCUGGCGGCGUGCUUAACACAUGCAAGUCGAACGGAAAGACCCUGCUUUUGUGGGGUGCUCGAGUGGCGAACGGGUGAGUAACACGUGAGUAACCUGCCCUUGACUUUGGGAUAACUUCAGGAAACUGGGGCUAAUACCGGAUAGGAGCUCCUGCUGCAUGGUGGGAGUUGGAAAGUUUCGGCGGUUGGGGAUGGACUCGCGGCUUAUCAGCUUGUUGGUGGGGUAGUGGCUUACCAAGGCUUUGACGGGUAGCCGGCCUGAGAGGGUGACCGGCCACAUUGGGACUGAGAUACGGCCCAGACUCCUACGGGAGGCAGCAGUGGGGAAUAUUGCACAAUGGGCGGAAGCCUGAUGCAGCAACGCCGCGUGCGGGAUGACGGCCUUCGGGUUGUAAACCGCUUUCGCCUGUGACGAAGCGUGAGUGACGGUAAUGGGUAAAGAAGCACCGGCUAACUACGUG
rnacentral:rRNA from 1 species